rnacentral:ncRNA from 15 species
UGGCAUGCUAUGGGCUGCUGUGCGACGGCGAAACCGAGGAAACCGGUGUAAUUCCGGUGCGGUCCCGCCACUGUGAUCGGGGAGCGACUCCCGUCAAGGCCACGGCCCCGCUUCGGGGUUGGAAGGCCGGGGGAAGUGUCGAUCCGAGAGCCAGGACACUCACGUCGUCGCCACCUCGACAC